GCCAGGUUCGGUGGUGCGUGCCUGUAGUCCCAGCUACUUGGGAGGCUGAGGUGGGAGGAUCGCUUGAGCCCAGGAGUUCUGGGCUGUACUGCUUUAUGCCCAUAGAGUGUCUGCACUAAGUUUGGCAUCAAUAUGGUUACCUCCUGGGAGUGGGGGGCCACCAGGUUGCCUAAGGAGAGGUGAACUGGCCCAGGUUGGAAACGGAGCAGGUCAAAAGUCCCAUGCUGAUCAGUAACGGGAGCGUGCCUGUGAAUAGCCACUGCACUCCAGCCUGGGCAACACAGGUUCUUUU
ensembl:misc_RNA Metazoa_SRP Metazoan signal recognition particle RNA